GCGCCAGUGGCGUAAGGCGAAGAUCGCUACCCGGAAAGCAGAAGAUGCGGGUUCGAGUCCCGCCUGGCGCA
rnacentral:tRNA from 1 species